CAAUUGUUGCUAUCAUCAGCAUCCAUUGGUUCAGUUUUUACUCUCAUUCCUGCUUCUGAAUGAGGCAAAUCAUCAGGCAAAGAAGCCAAGCAAUUCUGAAUCAUUUCAAUUACUCGUUCCAGGUGCUUUUGAAAUCUCUCAGCUGUUUCAAGCCGUUGACGUUUCUGGACCUCCAUCAUGACUCUCAAGGUCUCUCUUGCUUGGUGGGGUCGGUAUUCAUUUAUAAGAUGAUGCACGUGUACAAAAAGCAGCUUAAGAUCUUCUAGUUUCUCUUCUCGUUUUAUACUCCCAGGGCUCCUUAUUAAAAUAUCUAAAAGGUCCAAGAAAUUAAUAAGGAUAGACAUAUUAAGUUUUCUCAGUUCUUUCUUGUGAUCAAACUGCAUAGGAUGAAGCCGUUCGAUGCCCUGACUUUCCAAAGGGCGGAUGAUAAGAUCAUCACAUUGGAACUGAUUGCCAAACAUCAUGUAACUGUCUUUUAUUGGAGGGGGAGGCUUGGGAGCUAAGCCUUCUUGAAUAUUUUCAUCCGUAUAUUCCUUGAUAUAUUGCAUUGGAGGUGGUGGAAGUGCACUCACUUGCUGUGGUUCACCCAUUGUGGACUAUCAAGAACCUAU
rnacentral:lncRNA from 1 species